rnacentral:sRNA from 1 species
AACUAAACCCGAUCAAAGUGGUUCCGGUUCUUCACCGGAAGUAACGGAGAACGGGACUGAAG